CAACAACAACAAGAGGAGAAAAAGAGAAAGUUUGAGAGAAAUCAAGAAGAAGAAGAUAUAUGGAAACAGAAGCAAAUUGACAUGGAGAAGGAGGGAAGAGAGAGGAAGAAGAAGAUACAGAGAAAGAUAGAAGAGAUACACAGACGACAACAACAAGAGGAGAGACAGAAACAAAUGGAGAAAGAGAAAGAAAGGGAGAAAGACAAUGAGAAUCAGGGAGAGAAGGAAUUAAAAGAUCAGCAACAGAAAGAGAUAGAGAAAGAAAAUAUGAUUAUGAGAGAGAGGGAGGAAGUAGGAAGAAGAAAUGAGGGGCAGAAUGAACUGGAGAUAGAACAGGAGAGAGAGAUGGAAGAAAAGCAGGAAGUGAUUAUUAAGAAAGCAGAGGAAGAGUACAUGGAAAGAGAAGAGAGAGGAAAGGAAGUAAGCAUGAAGAAAGAUGUAGUAGUUAAUGUUAAAGCUAAAGCACGGGAAGUCUUCAAUAGACGUAAAGAGAGGAGGUUAGAAGUGUUGAAGGGGGAACGAGAACACAUAGAAAGAGGACAACAAAUCAGGAGGGAGAAGGAGGAAAGACGGCUGGAGAUGGAAAGAAAACAGGAGAGGGCAAGACAACAAGAGGAGCAGGAUAAAAAACGAGAGAUUGGAAUUGCCAGACAGAAAGAAAUGUUCAGACUAAGAGAGGAGGAGAGGCAGAGAGAGGAAAAGAGAGAGGAGGAAAGAAAGAGAGCUAUUGAAGGCCAUUUAGCUUUAAUCAGAGAGAGAGAGAACACCAUAAAGGCAAACAAAAGAGAGGAGAUGUCAGAAGAGGAAAGAAGAGAGAUCCCUGGGAAUUACAAGAUGGGUGAGACAGAGAACAGUGAAGAGGAGGAGGAGAAGGAAGAUGACAAGGAGGACAUUCUCCCACCUGAUAAAAGUAUCCGAAGGAGAGCUGUGGACUGGGUGAAUAAGAAGUGGGAGAAGAGGAACCUCAAAAAGAUCGGGAGAACGUAUCAGAGAGAGGCUAGGGAGGGCUAUAAGAUCGUCCACCUAGCCUUCCCUGGACAACCAAGGGUAAUAUCCACCAUGACCCGGGCAGAGAGAGAGAGAGGGAGAAGAGGAAGGAGCUGCUGAAGGAUGAGGAGAGAAGGAAGAAGUUGAGGAUUUCAAUAAGCAGUGGAGAGAGCAGUCCUGCUUAAAAAAAGGACUCAUCAGAAUCUGAAGGAGGAGAGAGGAGAGGAUGAAGGAAAAGUACCUGGACCAGAUGAAUCUUGAGGCUGAUGCUCAAAUCAACACCCGGUGUCUAACCACCCAACACAGCCACGAUUCCAACCAGGUCAGGCAUUGCCGGGAUGGGCCACAGGCCAACAGGUAAGCCAAGAGCCUGUUGGAUCUGGAGAUAGCCAGCAGGAGGGGCCAAGGAGGCAGCAGGCAUGGGCAGAGAACCAGGAGGGGAGUUCGGAGAACCAGCAGGAGUGGCCAGAGAACCAACAGGGGGUGCCAGGGAGCCAGCAGCUAGAAGCUCCAGAAGAGGCUGAAACAUCAGAGCCAACCUCCAAGAACAAGAAAAGGCCAC
ensembl:lncRNA